rnacentral:rRNA from 1 species
AUUGAACGCUGGCGGCAUGCCUAACACAUGCAAGUCGAGCGGAGUGGCGGACGGGUGAGUAAUGCAUAGGAAUCUGCCUGGUAGUGGGGGAUAACGACCGGUAACGGGCGCUAAUACCGCAUACUCUCAGAUGAGCCUAGGUCGGAUUAGCUGGUUGGUGGGGUAAAGGCCUACAAAGGCGACGAUCCGUAACUGGUCGGAGAGGAUGAUCAGUCACACUGGAACUGAGACACGGUCCAGACUCCUACGGGAGGAAGCAGUGGGGAAUAUUGGACAAUGGGGGAAAGCCUGAUGCAGCCAGGCGGCGUGUGUGAAGAAGGUCUUCGGAUUGUAAAGCACUUUAAGAGGGGAGGCGUUACCAGCAGAAGAAGCAACGGCUAACUUCGUGCCAGCAGCCGCGGUAAUAC